UACAGAGGUCCCAAGCGUUGUUCGGAUUUACUGGGCGUAAAGGGUGCGUAGGCGGUCGGGUAAGUCUGAUGUGAAAUCUCGGAGCUCAACUCCGAAACUGCAUUGGAUACUAUCCGGCUCGAGGUUGGGAGGGGAGACUGGAGUUCUCGGUGUAGCAGUGAAAUGCGUAGAUAUCGAGAGGAACACCAGUGGCGAAGGCGAGUCUCUGGACCAAUCCUGACGCUGAGGCACGAAAGCCAGGGGAG
rnacentral:rRNA from 1 species